UACGUAGGGGGCUAGCGUUGUCCGGAUUUAUUGGGCGUAAAGAGCGUGUAGGCGGCCUGGUAGGUCUGCUGUGAAAACUCGAGGCUCAACCUCGAGAUGUCGGCGGAAACCAUCUGGCUAGAGUCCGGAAGAGGAGAGUGGAAUUCCUUGUGUAGCGGUGAAAUGCGCAGAUAUCAGGAAGAACACCUAUGGCGAAGGCAGCUCUCUGGGACGGUACUGACGCUGAGACGCGAAAGCGUGGGGAGCGAACAGG
rnacentral:rRNA from 1 species